rnacentral:rRNA from 1 species
GCUGCGGUUUAAUUGGACUCAACGCCGGGCAGCUCACCGGAUAGGACAGCGGAAUGAUAGCCGGGCUGAAGACCUUGCUUGACCAGCUGAGAGGAGGUGCAUGGCCGUCGUCAGUUCGUACUGUGAAGCAUCCUGUUUAGUCAGGCAACGAGCGAGACCCACGCCAACAGUUGCUAGCGCGUUCUCCGGAAUGAUGAGGACAAAUAUUGGGACCGCCUCUGCAGGGGAGGGGAGGGGAGGGGUGGGCAACGGUAGGUCAGCAUGCCCCGAAUUAUCCGGGCUACACGCGGGCUACAAUGGUCAGAACAAUGGGAGACGGCACUGAAAAGUGUAGUCAAUCUCCUAAACCUGUCCCAAGUUCGGAUUGUGGGCUGCAACUCGCCCACAUGAAGCUGGAAUCCGUAGUAAUCGCGUUUCAAAAUAGCGCGGUGAAUAAGUCCCUG